rnacentral:rRNA from 1 species
CAAUAAGCGGAGGAAAAGAAACCAACCGGGAUUACCUCAGUAACGGCGAGUGAAGCGGUAACAGCUCAAAUUUGAAAUCUGGCUCCUCUGGAGUCCGAGUUGUAAUUUGUAGAAGAUGCUUUGGGUUGUGGGUUCGGCCUAAGUUCCUUGGAACAGGACGUCAUAGAGGGUGAGAAUCCCGUAUGUGGCCGAGGCCCGCGCCUAUGUAAAGCUCUUUCAACGAGUCGAGUUGUUUGGGAAUGCAGCUCAAAAUGGGUGGUAAAUUUCAUCUAAAGCUAAAUAUGGGCCAGAGACCGAUAGCGCACAAGUAGAGUGAUCGAAAGAUGAAAAGCACUUUGGAAAGAGAGUUAAACAGUACGUGAAAUUGUUGAAAGGGAAGCGCUUGCACCCAGACUUGGGCGCUGCUGAUCAUCUUGCGGUCUCCGCGAGUGCACUCGACAGCGCACAGGCCAGCAUCGGUUCGGGUGGCUGGAUAAAGGCCGUAGGAACGUAGCUCCCUUCGGGGAGUGUUAUAGCCUACGGUGCCAUGCAGCCCAGCCGGACCGAGGACCGCGCCUUCGGGCU